rnacentral:rRNA from 1 species
ACCUACGGGACGCAGCAGUAGGGAAUCUUCCACAAUGGACGAAAGUCUGAUGGAGCAACGCCGCGUGAGUGAAGAAGGGUUUCGGCUCGUAAAGCUCUGUUGGUAGUGAAGAAAGAUAGAGGUAGUAACUGGCCUUUAUUUGACGGUAAUUACUUAGAAAGUCACGGCUAACUACGUGCCAGCAGCCGCGGUAAUACGUAGGUGGCAAGCGUUGUCCGGACUUAUCGGGCGUAAAGCGAGUGCAGGCGGUUUCAUAAGUCUGAUGUGAAAACC